GAUGAACGCUAGCUAUAGGCCUAACACAUGCAAGUCGAACGGAGAUUUUACGGAAUGCGGCUUCGGCCAAAUGAAGUUUAAUCUUAGUGGCGGACGGGUGAGUAACGCGUGAGGAACCUGCCCUUAAGAGGGGGGACAACAGUUGGAAACGACUGCUAAUACCGCAUAAUGUCAUGAACCGGCAUCGGUUUAUGACCAAAGAUUUAUUGCUGAGAGACGGCCUCGCGUCUGAUUAGCUAGUUGGUGGGGUAACGGCCCACCAAGGCGACGAUCAGUAGCCGGACUGAGAGGUUGACCGGCCACAUUGGGACUAAGAUACGGCCCAG
rnacentral:rRNA from 1 species